AAUAAGGUGCCUGAUUAAAGGGUUAUCUUGAUAGGAUAAAUAAAGUAGGCUAUUCCUACCCUUG
rnacentral:tRNA from 1 species